UACGGGGGGAGCAAGCGUUGUUCGGAUUUACUGGGCGUAAAGGGCGCGUAGGCGGCGCAACAAGUCACUUGUGAAAUCUCCGGGCUUAACCCGGAGCGGUCAAGUGAUACUGUCGUGCUAGAGUGCGGAAGGGGCUACUGGAAUUCUCGGUGUAGCGGUGAAAUGCGUAGAUAUCGAGAGGAACACCUGCGGCGAAGGCGGCAUCCUGGCCCUUACCUGACGCUGAGGCGCGAGAGCGUGGGGAGCAAACCGG
rnacentral:rRNA from 1 species